rnacentral:rRNA from 1 species
UACGUAGGGCGCAAGCGUUGUCCGGAAUUAUUGGGCGUAAAGGGCUCGUAGGCGGUUUGUCGCGUCGGGAGUGAAAAUCCAGGGCUUAACUCUGGACUGGCUUCCGAUACGGGCAGACUAGAGGUAUGCAGGGGAGAACGGAAUUCCUGGUGUAGCGGUGAAAUGCGCAGAUAUCAGGAGGAACACCGGUGGCGAAGGCGGUUCUCUGGGCAUUACCUGACGCUGAGGAGCGAAAGUGUGGGGAGCGAACAGG